ACAAAGCUCAGAAAAUAUCCUUGUUCACUACAUCUAUUAGCUCGCUUGGCCAAUGUUUUCCAGUCACUGGCCAUCUGGUUUGUUUUCCACGUUAGCUGCCUAAAACUUGUUUCACUUACAGUUUUCUAACUUUGCUAUGGCUGAUAAUUGGCAUGCUAUUGAUGACUGAUGGAUGUUUGCUUACCAGGUGGCUGUGCAAUGCCUGGAGCAGGACCAGGUAUGUGAAGGGAGGAAAGCGAGGGAUCAAAAAAAUAAGGAUUAUGAUAUGAAGACCUGUUACCAAAAUCUUAAACUUCACCAGCCGUGUUGUUCACGCCAUUGCAGCUCUGUGUUUGGUGAAUUGGAGAAAAGUCAGGCAUAUAUCUGCUUGUUCUUGAAGUUGCAUUUAAUGAAUCAAUCUCUGAAGCAAAGGGGGGAAUGGAUAGAAAUAACAAACCAUUAAUUUAUGCUUUCGCAUUAUUAGAUAAGACUUUAAUUUGUGUCAAAAAAUAGUGCACUACUGUACCAGAGUGCCAGUACCAGUCUGUCAAGCUGCUUUUUUCAUCACUUGUACUCAUAAUGAAGUGCCUCUUCAGCUCUCAAAGGUUUAGCACUGCUAAUCCCAAACACCAGAUUGUCCUGUGCAGAAUUACUUCAUUGUUGUAAUAAUAUAUUUUUAAGACAAGACUGAAAUUCAUGGAGAAAUGAGCUAGCUUGUCUGUUAGGGAUGGCCUAAAUGUUUACUUCAUGCUUACUUUUGAAAACAAAAGCAUCCCAUGUGCAAAAUCUGUCCCAAAUCUAUGACAAUGUAGGGGAGGUGUCCCACACAGUGGUUAUCAAUCCUUGCUGAAAGUUAGGAUGCUGCAGUAUCAUCGGUGGAAUCCCUCAAUAUUUAGCAAUCAUAUUAAAUAUACCCUGUAAAUUAUUUCUCAGCCUUCAUGUCUCCCAUUUGGAUGGGACAGCCUUGGACCUGAGCUACAGAAAUGAGCUAUAUCUGAAGGAAGAAUUAGGAAUCUCCAAAUAGAAGACAGAGAUAGGUGUGAAUUUGCUGAAUUCCCCAGUCAGCUGAGCAGGAAAGUGAAUGGAUCAGGGCUCACUGAGGAUGAGGGAAACUGGCUGUAGAAGAGGGAGAAGAUACAAUUCAGAGAGAAGGUGGGCUGCAGGAACAGAAACCUGGCUGCCCAUCUAUCUUCAGCUUUUGUCACGUGCAAAAUAACAAGUAAUUACUUUAUAAAUGUCAGGCGCUAAUUGUAAGGGACUGCUGUGUGCCCCUUUAAAAACAAAACAUACAUCUAGGGAACAAAGAAGGUUGUAGCUCUGUGAAAAGUGUGCUUACAUCAACAUGCAGUUAUGUCAAUGUAAGGACACCAGCCCUGUUUUUUUGUGAGCCCCACUGGCACAUGUUGCAGGCAAAAGCUUUCCAGCCAGAGGCCAAUGGGAGAAAAUCUGCUGCUGCCUGAACC
rnacentral:lncRNA from 1 species